rnacentral:lncRNA from 1 species
CUCCCUAAAUGUGCCCAUCUCUGUUAAUUAGAGAGGCAGUCUCCAACAUAGUUAUUUAAAUCGGACCAGCGGUUCGACCGGUAAAAGACUGAAACCAGGGCCUCGGUUGGUCCAGUUCUGUAACGCCCAAAAAUUUGUUUUUAAUAAAUAGAAUUUAAUUUGAUUUAUUUAAAUAUUUUUGUGGGCAUUUAAUCUAGUAAAUAAAAUAUUUUUGUCAAAAUUAAAAUUCAUUAUAAGUUUAGUAAACUUGUUUGUGCAUUCAUGCUGAAGGAUAUUUUAUUUUUGUGCUAAUUUCUUUUGGUUGGAAUUUGGUUGCUCUCAAAAAUUCUAUUUUAAAAAGCUUUAGAAAACAGAAAAGAAAAAUAGAAAAAAAAAUAAAGGAAAAACCCCAGCCAGCGCCCAGCCCAACUACCGCUCAGCCCAGCACCCCUCUCCCCUCUUUCUCCCCCCCUCGCUCGGCCCACUCCUCCUCCCCGGCCAAGCAGUUCCCGCGGCCCAGGCGCGUGCACACUCCCUUUCCCCCCCUCUCCUUGGCCCGCUGACGACUGGGGCCCACUCGUCAGCCGCGCCCCUUUCCCCUUCCUCCAGCCGUCACCGAGAUGGACUCUUCCCUGGCUGAAUCAAUCCCGCAAUCGGCGGAAUUUCCUUGCCAAAGGAGUCAAAUCGAGUCCUAUAAAGCUCUUCCCCACCCGCAGUUCCCUUUUCCGCGUCCAAGCUGUCCAAACCGAGUCUUAGCCCCGUAUACCGCGAGUUUCGGAUCUUGCCGGAGAUAUCCUCCGCCACGCCGAGCACCAAGCCACCCUCGCACCCUCCCGGCUCA